UGGGGAAUUUUGGACAAUGGGGGAAACCCUGAUCCAGCCAUCCCGCGUGUGCGAUGAAGGCCUUCGGGUUGUAAAGCACUUUUGGCAGGAAAGAAACGUCAUGGGUUAAUACCCCGUGAAACUGACGGUACCUGCAGAAUAAGCACCGGCUAACUACGUGCCAGCAGCCGCGGUAAUACGUAGGGUGCAAGCGUUAAUCGGAAUUACUGGGCGUAAAGCGUGCGCAGGCGGUUCGGAAAGAAAGAUGUGAAAUCCCAGAGCUCAACUUUGGAACUGCAUUAUUAACUACCGGGCUAGAGUGUGUCAGAGGGAGGUUGAAUUCCGCGUGUAGCAGUGAAAUGCGUAGAUAUGCGGAGGAACACCGAUGGCGAAGGCAGCCUCCUGAGAUAACACUGACGCUCAUGCACGAAAGCGUGGGGAGCAAACAGG
rnacentral:rRNA from 1 species